AAAGCAUAUUAUCAGUCUGCAUGUUGCUUCAACUGGCAGGAUCUUGUUUUUCAAGAGUCCAGAAAAAGGCAGGCUUUCAAUCGGAGGAAAGGGUGUUGCACUGUCCAAUCAAUACACCUCUGUGCACCUUAAGGCUAAAAUGAAAGUGUCAGUCUGGAUCAUCCGCAGGAGCAGCUCCCACAUGCUUUGGAGAACUCUACAAGGCAGCAGACACAAUAAGACACCCACACAAUUGUUUUUACCGGCUCUUCUAAUAACACCCCAGUACCCUCACUUAGCCUUGUGUGUGUUUUCACAGAUAAUAGCUUGAUAAUGUUGAGUUGUAACACAAAACAUGUCUGAUGGGUAUUAUUAUUAUUAUGGCAAAUAUUACACAAUUACAGAAUUGUAUUUUCUGUGCUGUCACAGUUUUCACCUGGUCUCACAAAAUAGUAAGUCAUUUUUUUUAGAGAAGAGGAAACAGGGAGCAUGGUUAUGUAACUUGAUAUAAGGAUAUGCCUGUUAUGAAGUUCCACAACAAUCAA